CAGAAGGGAAGAAGGGGUCACGAAAGAGAAAGAGCCUUUUUUUUUUUUUUUUGUUGUUGUUGUUUUUGUUGUUUUCUUAUUCCUCGUC
rnacentral:ribozyme from 14 species